UACGUAGGGUGCGAGCGUUGUCCGGAAUUAUUGGGCGUAAAGAGCUUGUAGGCGGUUUGUCGCGUCUGCCGUGAAAGUCCGGGGCUCAACUCCGGAUCUGCGGUGGGUACGGGCAGACUAGAGUGAUGUAGGGGGAGACUGGAAUUCCUGGUGUAGCGGUGAAAUGCGCAGAUAUCAGGAGGAACACCGAUGGCGGAAGGCAGGUCUCUGGGCAUUAACUGACGCUGAGGAGCGAAAGCAUGGGGAGCGAACAGG
rnacentral:rRNA from 1 species